rnacentral:lncRNA from 10 species
CUGAAGAGGACAAAAGGCAGAGGAGGAGGAAUUUGCCCUUUUUUCCUGUCUGCUUACCUGGGACAUCUCAUCUUAUCUUCUCUGCUCCUCAGACUGGUAUUUACACCAUCAGCUCUCCCGGAUCUCAGGCCUUCAGACUUGGACUGAAUUAUACAUCAGCUUUCCUAGGUUUCCAACUUGCAGAUGGAAGAUCAUGGGACUUUUCAGUCUCCACAAUGGCUAACAAAAGGGACCGCAGAGAAAGCCCAGGGAAGAGCCAAGGCCCUUGAGAGAAGGAGCUGGAUCCCAGAAUCUAUGGAAUUGAAGGAGAGUCCCACAGAAGUUACCUUCUGAGCACGCAAUGGACUUUGUGUAAGCAGAAGAAUAAACUUUUACCAUGAAUCGGAGAAUGCCAUUUGCUGAAUAAUGGAACUCAUCUCAUGUUUUAAAAUCCUAUGUGCAUAUAAGGUUGUGUGCGGAUACAAGGUUAUUUUUUUCAUUGAAGUACCUCCAACCUAAAGCUCAGAAACAGGUGUGAUAUAGCACUCCUAUAAAAGGUAAAAAAAAAAGAGUUUAACUAAAAUUCCAUUCUCUGAUUAUUUUGCUCUAUUGGGUUAAUACUAAUGGAAGUCUUUACAAAAUGUUAAAUACAAUUUUUUAAGAUAAAUACAAAAAUGACAUAUGCUUAUGUCAAAAU